GAUGAACGCUGGCGGCAUGCCUAAUACAUGCAAGUCGGAACGAGAGGAAGGAAAGCUUGCUUUCCUGAAUCUAGUGGCGGACGGGUGAGUAACACGUAUCCAACCUGCCGUCUACUCUUGGACAGCCUUCUGAAAGGAAGAUUAAUACAAGAUGGCAUCAUGAGUCCGCAUGUUCACAUAGAUUAAAGGUAUUCCGGUAGACGAUGGGGAUGCGUUCCAUUAGAUAGUAGGC
rnacentral:rRNA from 1 species